UACGUAGGGUGCAAGCGUUUGUCCGGAAUUAUUGGGCGUAAAGAGCUCGUAGGCGGUCUGUUGCGUCGGCUGUGAAAACCCGGGGCUCAACUCCGGGCCUGCAGCCGAUACGGGCAGACUAGAGUUCGGCAGGGGAAACUGGAAUUCCUGGUGUAGCGGUGAAAUGCGCAGAUAUCAGGAGGAACACCGGUGGCGAAGGCGGGUCUCUGGGCCGAUACUGACGCUGAGGAGCGAAAGCGUGGGGAGCGAACAGG
rnacentral:rRNA from 1 species